GAUGAAGAACGUAGCGAAAUGCGAUAAGUAAUGCGAAUUGCAGAAUCCGUGAGUCAUCGAAUCUUUGAACGCACAUUGCGCCCCCUGGUAUUCCGGGGGGCAUGCCUGUCCGAGCGUCAUUGCUGCCCUCAAGCCCGGCUUGUGUGUUGGGCCCUGCUCCCCCGGGGGCAGGCCCGAAAGGCAGUGGCGGCACCGCGUCCGAUCCUCGAGCGUAUGGGGCUUUGUCACCCGCUCUGUAGGCCCGGCCGGCGCUUGCCGACCCCCAUCAAUCUUUUUUCAGGUUGACCUCGGAUCAGGUAGGGAUACCCGCUGAACUUAAGCAUAUCAAUAAGCGGAGGA
rnacentral:misc_RNA from 1 species